UACGUAGGGGGCAAGCGUUAUCCGGAAUUACUGGGCGUAAAGGGUGCGUAGGCGGCUAGUUAAGUCGAGGUUAAAAGGCAGUAGCUCAACUACUGUUGGGCCUUGAAACUAAUUAGCUUGAGUAUAGGAGAGGAAAGUGGAAUUCCCGGUGUAGCGGUGAAAUGCGUAGAUAUCGGGAGGAAUACCGGUGGCGAAGGCGACUUUCUGGACUAUAACUGACGCUGAGGCACGAAAGCGUGGGUAGCAAACAGGAUUAGAUACCCUGGUAGUCCACGCCGUAAACGAUGAACACUAGGUGUCGGGAGGAAUUUCGGUGCCGGCGCAAACGCAAUAAGUGUUCCGCCUGGGGAGUACGUUCGCAAGAAUAAAACUC
rnacentral:rRNA from 1 species